rnacentral:rRNA from 1 species
UUAAAUUGAAGAGUUUGAUCAUGGCUCAGAUUGAACGCUGGCGGCAGGCCUAACACAUGCAAGUCGAACGGUAACAGGAAACAGCUUGCUGUUUCGCUGACGAGUGGCGGACGGGUGAGUAAUGUCUGGGAAACUGCCCGAUGGAGGGG